rnacentral:rRNA from 1 species
GGAUGCGAUCAUACCAGCACUAAAGCACGGGAUACCAUCAGAACUCCAAAGUUAAGCGUGCUUGGGCGAGAGUAGUACUAGGAUGGGUUACCUCCUGGGAAGUCCUCUGUUGCAUUCC